rnacentral:rRNA from 1 species
GCGUGACCGGGGACUUAAGUGCUUAUGCUCUGCAUAGCGCUUUUGCUAAGGGCGAAUACCUUGGCGAAUAAGUGGUGGGUAAGACUGGUGCCAGCAGCCGCGGUAACCCCAGCGCCACAAGUGGGGAUCGGUUUUAUUGGGUCUAAAGCAUUCGUAGCUGGUUGAAAAAGUCUCUUGUGAAAUCGAGAAGCUUAACUUAUCGGAAUGCAGGAGAUACUUUUCAACUCGGAACUGGGAGGGGUAAGAGGAAUUUUGGGGGAAGCGGUAAAAUGCAAUAAUCCCCAAAAGACCACCGAUGGCGAAGGCAUCUUACCAGAACAGAUUCGACAGUCAGGAAUGAAAGCUAGGGGAGCAAACCGGAUUAGAUACCCGAGUAGUCCUAGCCGUAAACUCUGCAAGUUAGGUGUUGCAUAUUCUUAGGGAAUAUGCAGUAUCGUAGUGAAGACGUUAAACUUGCCACCUGGGAAGUAUGGUCGCAAGACUGAAACUUAAAGGAAUUGGCGGGGGAGCACUACAAGGGGUGCGGCGUGCGGUUUAAUCCAACUCAACGCGGAGAAUCUCACCAGAAGCGACGGCAGUAUGAAGGACAAGCUAAAGACUUUUCUUGACGAGCCGAGAGGUAGUGCAUGGCCGCCGUCAGCUCGUUCCGUGAGGUGUCCUGUUAAGUCAGGUAACGAGCAAGACCUGUACCUACAAUUGCCAGCGGGUAAUUUUUUACGACCGGGCUAUUGUAGGACUGCUUGGAAACAAGGAGGAAGGUGCAGGCACGGUAGGUCUGUAUGCUCCGAAUCUUCUGGCUACACGCGCGCCACCAUGGUAACGACCAGGAACCAACUCCGGAAGGAGGAGCUUAACCUCGGACCUGCCAUCAAUUACGUUAACCAACUCACGCGUCCGAAUCGGUCUACCCGAUG